CAUAGGACUUGACGCACGGAGCCGCUCAAUCCAUCUGGAAGACAUCCGUCACUUCCAGUAUAUGUUAUUAAUGCAAGAAACGCGUACUUUCCUAUCUGUUAAAAACCGCCAAAAUGUUGAAUUUGUGCUCUGAAAAAAAUUGUGGAAGUUGGGGUAAGUGUGAGAGACAUGUACCCAACAUUAGAAUUCCAAACGUGAAAUGAAAUGUAGGUAAAGAGAAGCGAGAAUUGAAGGGACAACAGCAGCUAAAGUGCUUGGUAAACAUUGGCUGUGCAGAUAUCGUAAUUGAAAAUAUUGGAAUUAUCGUGUUUGCUCACUGCAUUUCAUCAACAGUAAGGCAUUAUUCGUGUUUUUUCUUGAUUCCUUUGGUAUCUAAAAAUUCUCAGAAGUGAUAAAUCUGGCUGUAAAUUUUUCUUCAGAUGCGUUUUCAUUUUGUACGUAAAAACCCACUUGAGAACCAUGGGCGAUUUAAAAAAAAAAAAAAAAUACAGCCAGAUUUAUCACUUCUGAAACUUUUUAGAUGCCAAAGGAAUCAAGAAAAAACACAAAUAAUGCUUUAGUGUUGAUGAAAUGCAGUGAGCAAACGGCCAAUGUUCGCUAAGCACUCUGUCUGUUGUCCCUUCAGCUCUCACUUAUAUCGACCAUCAUUUCUCCUCACUUUUGGAAUUCUGAAGUAGGCUAAAUGUCUCACAUGCUCAUCCCGAUUUCCAUAAUUAUUUGCAGCGCAAAAAUGGACAUUUUCGGCGGGUUUUAACGGACCCGCUACGUUCAGAUUCAGAUUCAGAUUCAACUUUAAUUGUCGUUGUCAGUGUACAGUACAGAGACAACGAAAAGCGUUUAGCAUCUCCCUGGAAGAUGGAGUUGGAAACAAUGGAAAUAGUCAUCAAGAGGCAGUGAGCAGCAGAACACAACAAGACGCAACAAGACACAACAAGUAAAAACUUAAUAAAUCUCAUCUUUAAAAUUUAAAUUGUUCUUAUAUUUUAAGAGUCAUUCACAUUUUAAACUUUAAUAAAACCUUUUUGCACUUUUAA